GGGCUGACGACUGAAGCUGUAUUCUUCUCUUCUUCAGCAGCAGCAAAUCCAUGGUGGACAAAAACGGCAAGGAUCGAGACGAUGAGGAGGAGAGCAGUU
rnacentral:sRNA from 1 species